rnacentral:rRNA from 1 species
GUGCCAGCCGCCGCGGUAAUACGGAGGGUGCGAGCGUUAAUCGGAAUUACUGGGCGUAAAGCGCGCGUAUGUGGUCUGAUAAGUCGGAUGUGAAAGCCCCGAGCUUAACUUGGGAACGGCAUUCGAUACUGUCUGACUAGAGUAUGGUAGAGGAAAGCGGAAUUCCCGGUGUAGCGGUGAAAUGCGUAGAUAUCGGGAGGAACAUCAGUGGCGAAGGCGGCUUUCUGGACUAAUACUGACACUGAGGCGCGAAAGCGUGGGUAGCAAACAGGAUUAGAAACCCCUGUAGUCC